rnacentral:rRNA from 1 species
AGAACUUGAGAUCACUAAGCAGACAAUAAUCCGUGCGUUUGUGAGCAUCGGAUACAUUCCUAUUGGGAGAAACAUCAGCUCUGAUAACCCGCAUUACUGACCGUCCGCGUGCAUAUAAAAAGGUCAAGUGUCGAUAUACUGGGUCUAAAGACUAUAGCCGGAAUGUCAAUCUAGGGGGAAUCAUGCGACUCACCAGACUGAUCUUGAGAACUCCGUCCCAGUCUAAAGAAGAUACGGUAGAUCUGACCGUGAAGAGUAAAUCGUAGAUAUUUGGCGUACACCAUUGCGGAUAGGAGUUCCAGGGAUCUAAAUCGAAUUGAGAGUCUAGAAGUGUAGGUUCAAAAUCUAGUAGAACCCCAGUGACGCACGCGCCAAACGGUUAUACCCUGACGCUGGGGAGCGAACUUUUGGGUUCAAACACAACGAGAUUAACUUGUAGUCCAGGGGGUAAGGGUCAAAGGCUAGACCUCCAGUAGCAUGAUAGGGGGCGUCACACAUAGUGGAAUCAGCAUUCUUCUUGGAGAGUACGGUCGCAAGCUUAACACUCAAAGGAAUUGACGGGGGCCCGCACAAGCGGUGGAGCAUGUGGUUUAAUUGGAAGCAACGCGCAGAACCUUACCAACCCUUGACAUGUGUAUCGCGGAACCGGAGACGGUUCUUUCAGUUCGGCUGGAUACAACACAGGUGCUGCAUGGCUGUCGUCAGCUCGUGUCGUGAGAUGUUCGGUUAAGUCCGGCAACGAGCGCAACCCACGUCUUUAGUUGCCAUCAGGUUAAGCUGGGCACUCUAAAGAAACUGCCGGUGAUAAGCCGGAGGAAGGUGUGGAUGACGUCAAGUCCUCAUGGCCCUUACGGGUUGGGCUACACACGUGCUACAAUGGUGGUGACAAUGGGUUAAUCCCAAAAAGCCAUCUCAGUUCGGAUUGGGGUCUGCAACUCGACCCCAUGAAGUCGGAAUCGCUAGUAAUCGCGUAACAGCAUGACGCGGUGAAUACGUUCCCGGGCCUUGUACACACCGCCCGUCACACCAUGGGAAUUGGGUCUACCCGAAGGCGGUGCGCCAACCAGCAAUGGAGGCAGCCGACCACGGUAGUUUUCAUGAACGUAUG